rnacentral:lncRNA from 12 species
AUGAAUCCCACAGGGCUCCUGCUGCAUGGAUCCAUUUGGAAGUCUCACCUGAGGGGAGGACAGUCUAUCCAGGCCUCUCGAUCUGUGCUUCAGCCUGGCUCUCUCCAUGGGGCUUCCCUGGUUGGAUGUUUUCGCAGGGCCCCAGUCACGAAGCCUACGAAGGUAGAGGAACAAGUUUUUCCACCCCUACAAAGACCUAUGGAGACCAUCGGCACUUGCUGAUCUGGGCAGGCAGAGAGAGAAGUGGCCGAAGUGACGAGUCCAGACAAGCCAAGACCAAGCAUUGUCUGGAGCAGCCGAGUCUUCAUAGCAGCAGCCCCAGCUGAAGGAGGAGCUCACGUGCAUUCUCGAAAAGACAGCUGGGCUGCUGCCAGGGGCCGGGAGUAGAGCUGUCCAUGGAUGACCUUCCUUCCAGGCCCCGCAGCCCCCUGCGGAGGGCUGGCUCUGUCUCUCCUCCUGUCUCCUUAGCUAACCUGGAGGAGCCUCAUGAACACAUGUACAAGAAGAACUCUCCAGUUCUAAAAUUCUAGAAUUACACCCACCAAGCACAGUAAAAACUCAUUAAUGCAGACCACUUGUUCCAAGUUUCUAAUUAUUCCUUUUGGACUAAACUUAAGCUUAUUUUGCUCAGCAAAAUUUUAUUAUAGAUAGCUCAAAUUAAAGAGAGAAUAAGCAGAGCAAUUGUUUAGGAUAUUGAAGGGAACAAGCUAUUAAUUUAAUAUGUUAAUUUCAAAC